rnacentral:rRNA from 1 species
UGGUUCCUGGAUGUUAGCGGAGGAGGGGUGUGUCACACGUGUGACCUGUGCCUGUCUCAGUGGUAUAACUCCGGAAAAGCGGCUAUUACACCGGAGGAGCGUCCACCCCAUGUGGUUCGUACAUNAGAUUUGUCUUCUUUUGUCACUUACAGAUGGACCCGCGGCGCAUUAUCUAGUUGGUGAGGUAAUGGCUCACCAAGGCGACGAUGCGUAGCCGACCUGAGAGGGUGAUCGGCCACACUGGGACUGAGACACGGNCCANACUCCUACGGGAGGCAGCAGUAGGGAAUCUUCCGCAAUGGACGAAAGUCUGACGGAGCAACGCCGCGUGAGUGAUGAAGGUUUUCGGAUCUUAAAGCUCUGUUGUUAGGGAAGAACAAGUGCCUGUAGUAACAGGACGCCCCCCUUUACGUUCCCUAACCCGAAAGCCCCGGUAAAUUCCUGGCGUUAUCCCGCGUUAUUACUAAGUGGGAAGCUCGUGGUCGGAAUUUAUGGGCNGNAAAGGGUUCCCGGGGGUUU